UACGUAGGGGGCAAGCGUUGUCCGGAUUUAUUGGGCGUAAAGAGCGUGUAGGCGGCCAGAUAGGUCAGCUGUGAAAACUCGAGGCUCAACCUCGAGAUGUCGGCUGAAACCAUCUGGCUAGAGUCCGGAAGAGGAGAAUGGAAUUCCCGGUCUAGCGGUGAAAUGCGCAGAUAUCGGGAAGAACACCCGUGGCGAAGGCGGUUCUCUGGGACGGUACUGACGCUGAGGCGCGAAAGCUAGGGGAGCAAACGGG
rnacentral:rRNA from 1 species